GUACAUUGAAAGGAUGGAGGUGAAAGGUUCCAAUCCACCCUGAGGACCUUUGGAAGAAAGGCCUGGACAGCUACUUCCAAAAACUCAACCACCGAGGGGAAAAAAGCCAUAUGAAGUUAAAUUUUACACUGGCUCUUACGAGACCUCCAUGAAGAAGACUCGGCUCAAAAGCAACUAGGACCAGUAACGAGCCACCUAAAUAAAGAUGAUGUACUUGCGAUACAAA